rnacentral:lncRNA from 1 species
ACUCUUCUGCGGGAAGGGCUUGGCGUAGACCGCGCACUGGAAGGCGUGCGCGCAGGUGUGCGUGACCAUGUGCUUGAAACGGCAGUAGCGCAGCGAGAAGGAUCGCCAUCACACGGCGCACUGGUGCGGCUUCUCCCCCGAGUGGAUGAACAUGUGCUUGGUGUCGUUUUUCCUUGAGCUGAACGUCUUGCAACAGUGGCCGCACGCAUAGCUGCCCCAGAUCCCGGAAGAAAAUCUCUCCCACACCACUGUAGUCAGAGAGGCCAGUGGGUGCAUGGAACUCCUCGCACGCGCUGUCAGCAGCAGCAGUGAGGAAGCCGGCAGCACAGUCUGGGAAGGAAGGAGGUGCUUGGCUCUCUCCCGGGCCGCCACCUUCGCCGUCCUCGCCAUCGGUCUCAUCGUCAGUUUCCUCGUCAUCGUUGUCACCUCGGUCGUCAGGGGCCGCGGACAGUGAGGGGUAGGCACCAAGCCCCUCGGCUUUGGCAGGUGUCGGGGGCGCAGGCAGCUGCAAACUCGCGGGCCGGCGCUGCUUACCGCUGUGCGCGGCACCGGGGUGCCCCGGGGGUGCGCAGCCAGCAGGUGGCGCAGGCGGUGACGCAGCUGCUCAGGUGCGAGUGGCGGGGGCACAGGGGUGGGCAGGGGCGCGGGUGCAGAGGUGCUCGCGGGUGCAGAGGAGCGCGUGCGAUAAUCUGCGUGCAUUCGUCGAUAACUGUCUAUGCGAAGCACCGACGCAGCCAUGAGUACCUGCGGGGCUUCACUCUGUGCCACAACGAGCGAACCGCUGUACAGGAGCUCGACUAGCUGUCGCACCGUCUGCACAGGCACCACCGAAGGCACACGGAUCUCAGAGGGGCCGAGCAGCAGCUUGUCUUGGAAGGAGGGCGAGCCGAUUGCCAGCCCGCAGCGGUGCGCACGCAGCGAAGCUUCAUGAAUGCACACAGUCACGUCGCAGAAGUGCCCACCCAGCUUCUGCCCAUUGAGGGUCUCAAGCAGAGAGCGUGAGAAGUUCUGCAGAUGUAUGUGGCGCACAGCCUCUACAGCCGCCGACUCCGACUCCUCUUCAGGCACCAGGCCUGGCCGUGGCCGCCUUCUCACCGACUCCAAGGCAGCACUUCCGGGCGCUUCUCUUUAUUUUUAUACAGUUUUAUUGAGAUAUAAUUUACAUGCUAUCCAGCCCAUCUAUUUCAAGUGUACCAUGCAAGGGGUUUGUAUAUAUUCACAGAGUUGUGUAUCCAUCACCAUCGUUUUAGAACAUUCAUCACUCCAGAAGAAACUACUACCCAUCAGCAGCCACUGCCCAUUUCCCUGAUCUGCCCCGCCCUAGGAAAUCCGUAAUCACUUUCAGUCUAUGGAUUUGCCUAUUCUAGACCAUUCAUAUAAAUGAAGUCACACAACACUGGGUCUUAUGUGACUGGCUUCUAUCAAAGUUUGCAAGGUUCAUUUAUGUUCAUGCUGAUGAUAUAAACUGGCUCAUUUGAUGCCAAGACUGACCAUCACCACCAUACCAAGGUCAUCACUGAUCAGAGGCCUAACCCAAGGAGGGGGUCAUGUGCAGACCCAGCUGUGGGGAGGAAAGAUGCUGCAGAGGAGACGGAUGCCCACAGAGGCCCCUGAGUGGAUACAAUGCUCACUAAGUGGGCUGACCCCACAUUGGACACCGCUGCAUCCAUGUCCAUCACACAACACAGCUGCCGUUUCUUCUGCCUGCUUAUGGGAAAGUCCCCUCUUCUCCUCCGUUUUCUUCUCUUCCUGCCCUAUCACACCGUGCACUUCUCCCUUUCCUUAAAGAACCACCAUCAACUUUAGGAGGAGGGAAAGGGGUGGCUCUGGCAGGAAAAGCCAGAAUCCCCUCUAGCCAGCAGAGAGAGAGAGGAAUGGCUGCAUGUUUUCUCCCCCAGUCCAAGGCACUGGGUCUUGGCUGGGUUGAAGGUUCCAAGCUGCUCUCCUGCUGUGUCGGUGAGUUCUGGUCAACCUGCAACCUCCUGAUAUGGCCAUUGCAGUUCAUCGAGUCUUCAGGGACUCCCCAUGGCCUGGAGUACUUUGCCUUGCUUACACGGGAGAGGAGAAUGGAUUUAUAGAGAACAUCAUCUAAAUCCAACUUGACCAUUGUGUGGCCACACUUGCUAGAUUGCUAUAGUCUAAAUCUAGCAUUGUAGAAAGACGGGGGAGCUUGGAGCUGCACAAACCCAGGUCUGGAACUGGCUCCUUACCUUGGAAGGUGAAUGAUCCUGCCAGGACUCUUAGCCUCCCUGGGUCUCAAUUUCUUUAUCUGUUUCAUGGGAAUGAGGAUCUCUGCUGGGUGGUUGGGUGAUGUGGGGGCUGUGUGAAAACAGCUUGUCAAUACAAGCCAAAAUAGAAAUAUUUCUCCACAGAGUAUGAAGGUCAAAUGAGAGAAUACAUUUAAAUUAAAUGGAAAAUUAAAAUGGUAAAAAAUGCAAAGCUGUAUUGAAAGUUCCGAGCUUCUCUAUAAGGAGCUUUUUGACUAUGUAAGAAUCCUGUACUCGUUCCCCCUAAAUAU